UCGAGGAUUUUUCUCAAUGGGGGAAACCCUGAAGGAGCGACGCCGCGUGAGGGAUGAAGGUCUUCGGAUUGUAAACCUCUGUCAUCUGGGAACAAAGCGCUCCACCUAACACGUGGAUUGUUGAUAGUACCGGAAGAGGAAGCAGUGGCUAACUCUGUGCCAGCAGCCGCGGUAAUACAGAGACUGCAAGCGUUGUUCGGAUUCAUUGGGCGUAAAGGGUCCGUAGGCGGUCGGUUAAGUCGGAUGUGAAAUCUCGUGGCCUAACCACGAGCGGUCAUUCGAAACUAAUCGGCUAGAGGGCUGGAGAGGAGACUGGAAUUGUCGGUGUAGCGGUGAAAUGCGUAGAGAUCGACAAGAACACCGGUGGCGAAGGCGGGUCUCUGGACAGUUCCUGACGCUGAGGGACGAAAGCUAGGGGAGCAAACGG
rnacentral:rRNA from 1 species